rnacentral:misc_RNA from 1 species
GAUGAAGAACGUAGCGAAAUGCGAUAGGUAAUGUGAAUUGCAGAAUUCAGUGAAUCAUCGAAUCUUUGAACGCACAUUGCGCCCCCUGGUAUUCCGGGGGGCAUGCCUGUUCGAGCGUCAUUUCACCACUCAAGCCUCGCUUGGUAUUGGGCAACGCGGUCCGCCGCGUGCCUCAAAUCGACCGGCUGGGUCUUCUGUCCCCUAAGCGUUGUGGAAACUUUCGCUAAAGGGUGUUCGGGAGGCUACGCCGUAAAACAACCCCAUUUCUAAGGUUGACCUCGGAUCAGGUAGGGAUACCCGCUGAACUUAAGCAUAUCAAUAAGCGGAGGA